rnacentral:rRNA from 1 species
CCAUUCUUCAACACCUGUGCACACUUCAAAGUAAUCGUUCCUUGUCCCAUCCCACUUGUACGGGGGAGUUGUAAAAGAAAGGAUCAUUAAUUUGGUUCUCUCCUUAUAGCUCUCCAAAGAGAGGGUAAGAUGUUACAAGAACGAUCUUUGCCUUAUAACAUACCCUUCUUUUUAAAAAKGUUUAUGAACGUCAAACAAUGUAGGCUCGCCUUAAAAACGUGUAGCUGAAAUUAUAAAAUUAUACAACUUUUAACAACGGAUCUCUUGGCUCUCGCAUCGAUGAAGAACGCAGCGAAAUGCGAUAAGUAAUGUGAAUUGCAGAAUUCAGUGAAUCAUCGAAUCUUUGAACGCACCUUGCGCUCCCUGGUAUUCCGGGGAGCAUGCCUGUUUGAGUGUCAUUAAAUUCUCAACCUCGAACCGUUUGUUUACAGACUUUACGAGGCUUGGACUUUGGAGUGUGCCGGUCUCUAACGGGAUCGACUCCUCUUUAAAUGCAUUAGCUGGAACCUCCUGUGGACCAGACUACGGUGUGAUAAUUAUCUACGCUGUUGGUCUUGUGAAGCACUUUAUUGUUACGAGGUUCUGCUUCUAAUCGUCCUUUACUGCGACAAUGAGG